UACGUAGGGGGCGAGCGUUGUCCGGAUUUAUUGGGCGUAAAAGGCUUGUAGGUGGCCACGUCAAGUCGGAUGUGAAAUCUCCCGGCUCAACUGGGAGGGGUCAUUCGAUACUGGCGGGCUCGAGGCCGGUAGGGGGAAGCGGAAUUCCCGGUGUAGUGGUGGAAUGCGUAGAUAUCGGGAGGAACACCAGUGGCGAAGGCGGCUUCCUGGACCGGUUCUGACACUGAGGAGCGAAAGGCGUGGGGAGCAAACGAGG
rnacentral:rRNA from 1 species